UACAGAGGUGGCAAGCGUUGUUCGGAAUUACUGGGCGUAAAGGGCGUGUAGGCGGCCUUCUAAGUCAGACGUGAAAUCCCCCGGCUUAACCUGGGAACUGCGUCUGAUACUGGGAGGCUCGAGUAUGGGAGAGGGAUGUAGAAUUCCAGGUGUAGCGGUGAAAUGCGCAGAUAUCGGGAGGAACACCUAUGGCGAAGGCAGCUCGCUGGGACGUUACUGACGCUGAGACGCGAAAGCGUGGGGAGCAAACAGG
rnacentral:rRNA from 1 species